rnacentral:lncRNA from 1 species
CCAUGGUGCUGGGGUUGAGGCAGCCCUGCUGACAUAGCAUUGCUCUCUGUUUGCAGCGCUACUGUGGAGGUCUGGAAGAUGGUGCUUUCCCUGCCGGAAUCUUCCGAAAAAAUCCUGGAAGGACUGUGCAUAAUUCUCCAGAACAAAAAUUUGCACAGGAUCACCACAAUGGGGUCUGGCCUCCUUCAGCAGACUAUGCCAGAGAUUCUCAGAUGCAUCCAUAGAAGCCUGGAAAGGAAGAGCAUCCCACUUGAAAAGACAGCCCUCUCAGUGCUGGAUGUGCUGACCAUCCAGUUUCCCACAGAUGUGCUGAGGAGUGUGUUGACUGAUCUUCCACAGACUGACAGCACUACCCAGGUCAUAUUGAAGACCGUGUUUCCUCUGCUGGAAACUUCAGAGAGGAUCUUGGACAAACUGAGCAACGUUCUCCAGGACCAACAGCUGUGUGAGAGAUUUAACAUCACCACAGCGGAGCUGGGCCUCCUUUGCUUGACUGUGAUGCCUCCCACUGAAGAGAACCUGCAGGAGCUGUGUAAGCCAGAACUGCUCCAGAGGCUUCUGAAGGUUGAAAGCCUGCCAAUACUCUGGCUGGUGC